AAUAUUGGACAAUGGGGGGAACCCUGAUCCAGCCAUGCCGGGUGUGUGAGGAAGGUCUUCGGAUUGUAAAGCACUUUCAUUUGGGAGGAAGGGUUGUAGGUUAAUACCCUGCACGUUUGACGUUACCAACCGAAUACGCACCGGCUAACUUCGUGCCAGCAGCCGCGGUAAUAGGUAGGUGGCGAGCGUUGUCCGGAAUUACUGGGGGGAAAGGAGGCGUAGGUGGAUACUUAAGUGGGAUGUGGAAUCACCGGGCUCAACCCGGGAACUGCAUUCCAAACUGGCAAGCUAGAGUAUGGCAGAGGGUGGUGGAAUUACCUGUGUAGCGGUGAAGUACGUAGAUAUAGGAAGGAACACCAGUGGCGAAGGCGACCACCUGGACUGAUACUGACACUGAGGUGCGAAAGCGUGGGGAGCAAACAGG
rnacentral:rRNA from 1 species